UACUUGACGUAGAUGUAUAGAAGACGACUGUACUUGCCGUACCCUUGCAAUCCGAUGAGCGCUGCAUAGGGCGAGUCACGAGCUAAAUUUGAAACGUCGCUUCGUCGGCCGACUCCCGGUUUAAAAUAAAAUAAACAAAUAUACCUCUUCCCGCAUUUCCCCUUAACAAUGUCAUUUAUUACCCAGAUUUUUAUUAUCUUCAACAUUAGUCCUGAGUGAUGCAACG